AGAAAGCUGCUGACGGAGAAGUAACGUUAGGACACAGAACAAGUUUGUGACUGACUUAAUGAACCCAGUUGGUUUGGAUCAUGCUCAGAGAUGUAAGGGUUACAAAAAGUUAACCAGAACUCUUAUGGACUCCAUCUUGUCUUCAAAGAGAUGGCAACAUGAACGGGAAAAAAGGGGUUGUUGGUGAAAAAAGAGCCUUGACCUACAAAAGGUGCAGCUAAUAAUUGACUAUGUCAAAAAGAGGCACCCAGGCAUCGGAGGCACUGAGAUCAAGGUCUGCAUGGCACAAAAGUUAAGAGAUCUGAGGAGACGAGCAGAAAGGAUGCCUGCUGAAGGAGACACAAAGGACUGAGACAAUACACAUUUACAAAAGCACACCACUCACACACACAUGCGUGUAUACCUGCGUUUUUUGUGGCUUUUUAUGUAUUUAUGUAUAAUAUGUGUGCUAAACAAAAGUGUAUAUAGUUUCUCAUUGAUAAUUGUCUUGAGAUAUUCACAUUUAUAA